CCUACGGGAGGCAGCAGUGGGGGAUAUUGCACAAUGGGGGGAACCCUGAUGCAGCGACGCCGCGUGGGUGAAGGAGCGUUUCGGCGCGUAAAGCCCUAUCGGCAGGGAAGAAGGAGGACGGUACCUGACUAAGAAGCCCCGGCUAACUACGUGCCAGCAGCCGCGGGAAUACGUAGGGGGCAAGCGUUAUCCGGAUUUACUGGGUGUAAAGGGGGCGCAGACGGCAGCGCAAGCCAGGAGUGAAAGCCCGGGGCCCAACCCCGGGACUGCUCUUGGAACUGCGCGGCUGGAGUGCAGGAGGGGCAGGCGGAAUUCCUGGUGUAGCGGUGAAAUGCGUAGAUAUCAGGAGGAACACCGGUGGCGAAGGCGGCCUGCUGGACUGCGACUGACGUUGAGGCCCGAAAGCGUGGGGAGCGAACAGGAUUAGAUACCCUAGUAGUC
rnacentral:rRNA from 1 species